UCACAUAAUCCUCUCUUAUCAUUCCACACGUAUAGCUAUAACAUUGUAGACUAUACCUUGCCCAAACUUCAAUCAUUAUCUUUGUCAUCUUGCAACAUAAGUUAGUUCCCGUAUUUCUUAAAAUCCACUGAAAAUUUAAAUACAUUAGACCUUUCCAACAACCAAAUCAAUGGCAGUAUUCCAACGUGGUUGUUGGAGGUGAAGAUGGAUUCAUUGAGUUACCUGAAUCUUUCACUCAACUCCUUGGCAAGAAUAGGACACCUUCCAUGGAAGAACUUGCAAUUUCUUGAUCUUCAUUCUAACUUGCUUGAAGGACCACUUCCAAUACCUCCACUGUACACUUAUUUCUUUUCAGUCUCGAGGAAUAACUUAACUGGAGAGAUCCCUCUCUUGAUUUGCAAUCUCAGUUCCCUCCAAUACCUUGAUUUGUCUUAUAAUCAAUUGAGUAACAUGAUUCCUCCAUUUUUGGGAAACUUAAUUAAUCAUCUCAUAGAUUUGGAUUUGCAAAGUAACAAUCUUCAUGGUACUAUCCCUUCAACAUUUGCAAAGGGCUGUUACUUGAGAAGUCUUAAACUCAAUGGCAACCAAUUGGAAGGUUCAUUGCCACAAUCAUUGGUCCAUUGUAGAAAGUUAGAAGUUCUAGAUUUUGGUAAAAACAAGAUUAAUGGAACCUUUCCUCUUUGGUUGGAAAAUCUUCCGAAGUUGCAGGUUCUUAUCUUGCGGUCAAACAACUUUCAUGGUGCUAUAGGCAAACCCAAGCACAAAUUCCCGUUCCCUAAUUUGCGAAUCAUUGACCUCUCUCACAAUGAGUUCCAUGGUCUAUUGCCAACAAACUUUUUCAAUUAUUUAAAAGCCAUGAAGAAUUCUAAUGCAAACAAAGGUGGAUUGAAAUAUAUGGGUGAUCGAUAUUAUCAAGAUUCUGUGACAGUGGUGAUGAAAGGGAUUUUUAUUAAAUUGGUGAAAAUCCGAAGUCUAUUCACAACCAUUGAUUUCUCCAACAAUGAUUUUAAAGGAGAAAUUCCAAAGGCAAUUGGAGAGCUUCAAUUACUUAAGGGGCUUAAUUUUUCACACAAUAAUCUUACAGGUCGUAUGCCACCAUCGUUGGGAAAAUUAACCAAUCUUGAAUGGUUAGAUCUCUCCUCAAACAAGCUCAUAGGUGAAAUUCCUAUACAAUUGGCAGAUCUCACAUCACUGGCAGUUUUAAACCUAUCAGAAAACCAUCUUUCUGGACAAAUACCUCAAGGUAAACAGUUCAAUACCUUUAUGAAUGAUUCUUACAAUGGGGACCUGGGGUUAUGUGGAUUUCCAAUAACAAAAGCUUGUGGCAAUGAUGAGGGACAACAACUAUUGCCAUCAUCAACCACUCAAGAAGAUGAUUUCAAAUUUGAAAAUGGGUUUCAUUGGAAAGUUGUAUUGUUGGGGUACAGUUGUGGAUUCAUGUUUGGAUUGGAUUUGGGUUAUCUUGUGUUCUCAAGUGGGAAACCGAAAUGGCUUGUGAAUAUUGUUUAUGGUGAACAAGAUAACAAGGUACAAAGAUCCAAGAAGAAUGCUCAUGGACAAACUCAUUGAAGAAAAUUUUGGUGGAUGCAAAUACUGAUUCUAGGCUUGUGGCCCUUUCUAUCCAGUAUUAACAGGAUGGAGGGACAACAUUCAUUCAUAUUUAACGAAGCACUGGCCGGCAUUUCACGACCAAAUGAUAAUAUAACACAAACACUUCGCCUUUUUGCCCUUAGUGGUAUUGAUGAAAGAUAAACAGUUAGUCUUCUAGGUACUACUAUCUCUCUGCUCUUUCUUAUUUCCCCCCUUAUUUUAUGGAAUUGAAAAAGGUUUAAAAGUUAUUUGGUUUGUAUCAGUUUCUUAAUCAUCUGAAGGUGCACGCGACAUUGGGAAGAUUAGCUGUGAAUUCAUACGGAAAUGCCUCCCUUACCUCAAUGGAACAGGGUAGCCAAACCCAACUAUAGCUCCUGAUUUUCUCAUUGAGACGAGAAUGAGAUGCCAAGACAGUAAUAGGACCACCACUCAGCCUUCUUCACCCAUGGAAUCACUGGAAAUGAGUGAGUCUGCAGUGGGGAUGUCAUAUUUGCAAGAAUUGUCAUCUUCGAUAUCAUCUGGGGCAGGUUUUGACACUCACGACUAUCAGAACUUGUUAAAGGGGAGAGGGUACCUUUUUGCCGAUCAGAAAUUGAUAGCUAAUGAGAAGACCGCGAGAUUGGCAAGGGUUUAUGCUUCAGAUGAUGGAUCAAUCUUUCAAAUGGACUUUGCUUGGGCAAUGAUGAAGAUGUCAGGUCUUAAUGUUCUGACUAGAUCUCAAGGUUAGGUCCGAAGAAACUGCUCCUUGGCUUUGGUCAAUUCCUAAGUGACAGUCUAACCAUAAUGAACUCUUGAGAUCUUUUUUCUUUCAUGAACCCAUAAUGGGUGUAAGAGCGAAUCUCAGAAUCAGAGUGAAACCAGUGCACUUUGGAGACCCAAUUCAGAGCUUGUUGAUGGGUUUUUCCUCUCCAGAAAGUUAAAACAAAUUUAAGAGAGAGCAUCUCAAAAAUACUGCGGGAAAAGCUUGUUCCAAUCUUUGAUGAAUUUUAAAGGCCUCACAGUGAUUGAAAUAUUUGUUAAUUCCUAGCAAGGUGAUGACUGUUCUCUCUGCUCUCGUUUGCUGGGCUACUCCUAAUCUGAUCUCUCAUAAAUGGGCAAAUCACAUAACAACAUUGUUGUUCUUCGUGUUCGGGUUAUGGUCUUUAUGGGAUGGAAUUAAAGAUGACGGGCAAUGUUUAUUUCUUUCAUUCAUUCACUUCUUUUCUGCAUCUUGCACAUCAGUUCUCAUCUAAAAGAUAUGUCCUCUGAGUCUAUUCCUGGUUCACCCUAUAGAGAUGAUGAUGAGUUUGCUGAAGUUGAAGCAAAACUGGAUGCUGAAUUGAACUCUGACAAAAGAACUACCAAAAAGAAAAGUAAGGCCAAGUCAGCUUAUGGAUUUGAGAUUGUUCAAAUGGUCAUUGUGGACACUGAACCUGAUGAACAUGUGAAGAGGACUAUGAGUGAGAUAAAUGCUGGUAAGUGUUCAUUUUGAAUUGAACAUUGUUUCUCCUCUCUCUCUGACUGCAAGAAUGAAGGUGGUGGCUAACGAGAAGGCUGAAGCAGAAAAAAUUCUGCAAAAAAAACGUGCCAAGGGAAACUGAGCAUGGUAAGCAUGCCAGCAUCAGACCAUUGAAGUUGGACUGAUGGACAGUGUGCUUGCGUUCUCUGUGAAUGUACCUGGAACUACGUCAAAGGAUGUCAUGGACAUGGUUCUGGUGACUUAAUAUUUAGACAAAAUGAAAGAAAUUGGUGCAUUGUCAUCACACAUGGACCAGGUGCUGUGAAAGACAUUGCUUCACAGAUUAGAGAUGGCCUCCUUCAAGCAAAUACCACUCAGAAUUAGUGACUUUGUCCCAACAUAUAUGUUGCACGAGUGGCUUUUUUAAUGGUGUAUGAAAUCAUUGGUGCUAGUAUCUAAGAGUUGUGUCUUUUAUUCUUCUUUUCUACUUUCCAAAUUAUUUACUUGAGUGAAGAUAGGAGCUAGGGAUUGUCUUGCAAGUUGCAACUAAGUGGUGUGGUGUUUAUACAUGGUGUUGAACUUGGCCAUGGUAUUGGCAAUAUUCUUUUAUAGGAUGAGAUGGUACUGAUUUGGGUAAUUUUGUGGAAUCCUCUGGUGUUAUAUGCUAUUUUGUAACUGUUGUCUGCA